CCUACGGGUUGCAGCAGUGGGGAAUAUUGCACAAUGGGCGCAAGCCUGAUGCAGCCAUGCCGCGUGUGUGAAGAAGGCCUUCGGGUUGUAAAGCACUUUCAGCGGGGAGGAAGGCGUUAAGGUUAAUAACCACAGCAAUUGACGUUACCCGCAGAAGAAGCACCGGCUAACUACGUGCCAGCAGCCGCGGUAAUACGGAGGGUGCAAGCGUUAAUCGGAAUUACUGGGCGUAAAGCGCACGCAGGCGGUCUGUCAAGUCGGAUGUGAAAUCCCCGGGCUCAACCUGGGAACUGCAUUCGAAACUGGCAGGCUAGAGUCUUGUAGAGGGGGGUAGAAUUCCAGGUGUAGCGGUGAAAUGCGUAGAGAUCUGGAGGAAUAUCGGUGGCGAAGGCGGCCCCCUGGACGAAGACUGACGCUCAGGUGCGAAAGCGUGGGGAGCAAACAGGAUUAGAUACCCGCGUAGUC
rnacentral:rRNA from 1 species